CACAAUAACAAGGCGGGCUGGACACCCCCCGCUGGGCACUGCUUCACGGCGUGCGCGGCGGGGCCGGCCCUGCUGAAUUAUUCACCCGUGUCUUUUGCGUACUUCUUGUUUCCUGGGUGGGCUCGCCCGCCCUCAGGACCAACCACAAACCUUUUGCAAUAGCAA
rnacentral:misc_RNA from 1 species